GACGGAAGGUGCAAGCGUUGCUCGGAAUCACUGGGCGUAAAGGGUGCGUAGGCGGCUUCUUAAGUCUGGUGUGAAAGCCCAGGGCUCAGCUCUGGAAGUGCACUAGAAACUGAGGAGCUUGAGUACCGGAGGGGAGAGUGGAAUUCCUGGUGUAGCGGUGAAAUGCGCAGAUAUCAGGAGGAACACCGGUGGCGAAGGCGGGUCUCUGGGCCGAUACUGACGCUGAGGAGCGAAAGCGUGGGGAGCGAACAGG
rnacentral:rRNA from 1 species